AAGGUUUUAAGUUAAUAAAACUAUUAUCCUUCAAAGUUAAAAAUAUAAUCUCUUGUAAGCCUUA
rnacentral:tRNA from 2 species